UUUUGUUUUUCUUCUCUAUAU
rnacentral:sRNA from 1 species